rnacentral:rRNA from 1 species
AUUGAACGCUGGCGGCAGGCCUAACACAUGCAAGUCGAGCGAGCGGCGCACGGGUGAGUAAUGUAUGUGGCUCUGCCCGAUAGAGGGGGAUAACUACUGGAAACGGUGGCUCAUACCGCAUACUAUCCGAUUAACCCAUAUUGGAUUAGCUAGUAGGUGGGGGAAAGGCUCACCUAGGGCACGAUCUCUAGCUGGUCUGAGAGGAUGAUCAGCCACACUGGGACGGAGACACGGCCCAGACUCCUACGGGAGGCAGCAGUGGGGAAUAGUGCACAAUGGGCGCAAGCCUGAUGCAGCAAUGCCGCGUGGAUGAAGAAGGCCUUAGGGUUGUAAAGUACUGUCAGCGGGGAGGCGUUACCCGAAGAAGAAGCACCGGCUAACUCCGUGCCAGCAGCCGCGGUAAUUC